UCAUCUUCUUGAAUAUCAACAAUAUUUUUUACUUUUUCUUUAAAUUUAUCCCUUUUAACUCUAAUUCUUUCUAAAUCAACACUUCUUCUUGUUUUACGUGCAUAUUCUGUUGUCUUAUCUUGUAGUUG
rnacentral:sRNA from 22 species